rnacentral:misc_RNA from 1 species
GAUGAAGAACGUAGCGAAAUGCGAUAAGUAGUGUGAAUUGCAGAAUUCCGUGAAUCAUCGAAUCUUUGAACGCACAUUGCGCCUCCUGGUAGUCCGGGAGGCAUGCCUGUUCGAGCGUCACCAAAUCCAACUCAAGCGGUUUUGCGCUUGGUCGUGGCGGAAGAAUCGGUCUGGUUGCCGUCUCCCCUCCGAAAAUCAACGGCGGAAAGUCACUGGCAGUCAGCGUAGUAGUAUCGUUCGCCGAACAUCCAGUGGCAUUCCUGCCGACGUACCCCCACAAUUCUCGUGAUUGACCUCGGAUCAGGUAGGGAUACCCGCUGAACUUAAGCAUAUCAAUAAGCGGAGGA